UAACAUUCUAUUAAAGCAGCAGAUGAAAA
rnacentral:piRNA from 1 species